AUGGAACCAGAGCUAGUCGGGGUAAAAUUGGAGGUGAGAGAAACAGAGACUAUAAAGGAGUUGAUGGGAAAAUUGGAGGAGAAAAGGAUGAGAGAGCUACUGUGUUGGUGUAUUAGGCACGACAUUCGCCCUACAGAGCGUGUCCUAAUGAUAUCACCUGAGUUAGCGUUUUAUACUAGUCCUGAGGUGCGUGCUAGCUGUCUGGUGAAGAUAGUACCAGCACCACGCACCAGGCCUCCAGUUCGUCAGCCCAGUCCAACUCGUCCUGUUCCCGCUCCCCGCACUAGCCCUGAAGUGCGAACCCCUAGUCUGAUACCUCCAGUACCAGCAUCACGCAUCAGGCUUCCAGUGCGUCAGCCCAGUCCAACUCGUCCUGUUCCCGCUCCCCGCACUAGCCUUGAGGUGCGUGUUCCCAGGCUGAUACCUCCAGUACCAGCACCACGCAUCAGGCUUCCAGUGUUUCAACCCAGUCCGACUCGGCCUGUUCCCGCUCCCCGCACUAGCCCUGAGGUGCGUGUUCCCAGGCUGAUACCUCCAGUACCAGCACCACGCAUCAGGCUUCCAGUGCGUCAAUCCAGUCCGACUCGGCCUGUUCCCGCUCCCCGCACUAGCCCUGAGGUGCGUGUCCCCAGACUGGCACAUCCAGUACCAGUACCACGCAUCAGGCUUCCAGUGCGUCAGCCCAGCCUCGAGAGUUCGGCAACAGUGUGUAGUCCAGAGUAUCCGGCAACAGUGUGCAGUCCAGAGUAUCCGGCAACAGUGUGCAGUCCAGAGUAUCCGGCACCAGUGUGCAGUCCAGAGUAUCCGGCACCAGUGUGCAGUCCAGAGUAUCCGGCAACAGUGUGCAGUCCAGAGUAUCCGGCAACAGUGUGCAGUCCAGAGUAUCCGGCGCCAGUGUGCAGUCCAGAGUAUCCGGCACCAGUGUGCAGUCCAGAGUAUCCGGCAACAGUGUCUAGUCCAGAACCAAGGGAGUCUGCCUGCGACCCGGAACCGAGGGAGUCUGCCUGCGACCCGGAACCGAGGGAGUCUGCCUGCGACCCGGAACCGAGGGAGUCUGCCUGCGACCCGGAACCGAGGGAGUCUGCCUGCGACCCAGAACCGAGGGAGUCUGCCUGCGACCCAGAACCGAAGGGGUCUGCCUAUGACCCGGAACCAAGGGAGUCUAUCAGCAACCCGGAACUAAGUAAGUCUGUUGACGAUCCGGAACUAAAUAUAAUUAACUAUGUAUUUAAUGAGUCUGCCUACAGUGUGGAAAGGAAGAGGUCUGCCUACGAUCUGGAACAAUGGGAGUCUGCCUACGGCCCGAAACUAAGCAAGUCUGUCUGCAUUCUGGAGGACAGUAGGCCGGAGCCUGAACCACCUCCUGUAUAG
rnacentral:lncRNA from 8 species